CCUACCUGGUGUCCUGGAGGGAGUGUCUGAGAAGGCAGUGGGAUGACCUCCUGGUGGGCUAAUGUAUCCAUUUAUUCAAGCAACGUAUUUGGAGCACUGUGUCUGCCAGGUGCUAGCUGGGAUGGCCCUCAGAGGUGAGGAAGAUUUGCCUGGAAGAUUCCACCUCGGAGAUGGUCACAGCUCCAGGGGUCUGCAGUGCCUGUGAGGGCUCCUGGGCUUCUCAGCCAUGCCUCGAGAACCACUGCCUUCAGCUGCUUUGGUCCAGAGCGAUGCUGGCAGAUGAGGUCAGAAAGUGACUGAAGUCUAGGACACGUUCUCUAAAGCUGGUAUAUCCUGCAAGCAGUCGUCAGUAGAGCCUGAAGCGGCUUACCUGAUCCGAUCCGAUCCGAUCCGCACUGACUGCAGAACAGCCCGGCUGGCCGAUGCUAGGCCCUGGAGGGCCUGCUGCUUCCUGCAGGGACCCGGGCGGCCCAGGAGGGCAGUUCUCAGGAGCAGCUAUGGGUGAGGCUGGCGAGACGCCGCCACUGUUUCCUUGAC